CUUUCCGCGUCCAAAGCUCAGAAACACGAUUCUCUCCUUUUCCCCCAAAUUCCCCAUUUCAUCACCAACGAACAAACCAUAAACCCUACCCAGUGGCCAGUGCCUCCGGCGCCUUACUCAGUAGUCCGGUGCGACAGCUAAUUGCACGAGCUGACAACGAACCCAAGGCGAGUAGAACUCCAACAAGGCUUCAAAACCCUAAUUGCUAACAUUAACAAGUUUUUGUUGCCUUGCUGGUUGUGUGGCAGCUUCAAAACCCUAAUUCUCUUCCUUCACGUGAUGUGAAUUUUGUGAUGCGAAACGGAGCAUUGCUUAUAAAGGCAGCCUCUGAUCCUAGAGCUGGUGAUAUUUUAAUUGGAUUUUUAGGAUCUGUUAUUCUUUGAUUUGCUUUCUCUAUGUUCAAACAAAGAAAGGUAUCCAUCUUGGUUUCUUAUUUCAUUAGUACUAUAAUGCUACAAUAUAAAUUAUAUAAUAAACCAGGUGAAUACAAUGUCUUCUUAUUAUUGUUACUACAAUUUGUUAUUACCAAAGCACUAAUAUGUGUUGAUAUUAGGCUAUGGAUUCACGCUUCUUUAAAUCAGGCUAUGGAUUCUCGCUUCUUCAAAUCAUUAUACAAUGCAUGUUAUAGAAGUUUCAUUAUAAUCAUUAAAGUCAACUUUGUUUUAUGCACAUAGCCUUCAUGUAACAUGAAAUUAAUAUUUUUCCCUCCUAAUUUUUUAUCCAUUAGUAAUAAGCUGUAUUCUUAUAAAAUUAAGUAUAUUUAUAGUUUAAUUUAUUUUUAAUAUAUAUUUUAUAUUUUAAUAUAUAUUUUAUAUUAUUGAUUGAUUUUAGUAUAUACUAGUGAUUCAAUAGAUACUAUUGUAUUUGUUUAGUUAUUUUUCUAUUGAGUUUAAAAAAUUAAUUUAUAUUUUUAUUUUUAAAAUUAUAAAUUUAAUAUUAAUAAUUAAAAAUAAAUUAUAAAAAACAAAAUAUCUUAUGCAAACUACAAGGUUUUCAUGAUAAGAUUUUUUUGUAUUAUUUUUAGUGUGAUGUGUCUAUAUAUAUUUUUUUGAUAGGGUUGACAUAGUCACAAGUAUUAUCAAAGUUGCAGUGGCAUCCAUUUAUACUAUCUCAAGUAUUGGUAGAGUUUAAGACUCUUAGAGAAGCUAUUCAAGUAUUGAGAAGCAGCCUCCACAUCAAAAAAAUUGGAAAGCUGGAAUAGUAUAGGAUAUGGUUGGUAGAGACGGAGAUCACGGCCGUAGCCGUGGCCGAGGCCGAAAGGGGAGGUCUAGGCUUUCUACCGGUCACCCCCUUGACUUGCAUGUAGAUUCAUACACUCUUGUUGGGUCAUCAUCAAGCACGACUGCUCUGACCAAUGGGAGACCGUCACCUAUUGCUACGACUACCCCCUCUCGUCAGGAGCUUCAGAUACACAUGAUGCCUACUCUGGGUGUGCCAAGAUCAUGCACACAACAAGCCAAUGAACCUUCCAACACUACCUCACAUGGUGUGCAAAGUGAUCUAGCUAUUGUAGCACCCAGUCAAGCAGGAGCUUGUGGAGAAAGACAAACCACAUCUAAUGGUACCCAAGAUACUCAUGGUUAAGGAAUAUCCACCACCACUAGUCACUCCAGCACAAGUGCUCCCAUGCUUAAAUAUGAUGGUGCCAAAUGGUUUGUUAUUUGCUUUAAAUUUUAUGAAUUGCAUGUCUCAUUUUUACUAAGUAAUAUGUCCUUAUCAUUUUUUUGUUUUUGAUGUAGUUGGCACCUACCUAAGCUUGGUUUAAAACGUAUUUCUUAGGUUUUUAAGGAAAACUACAAUAAGCCUUGGCUGAGUUUUGAUGAGGCAGAUGAUGAUACUCGAAAAAUAUAGUGGACAGAAUGGAGGAAAUGCUUUGACAUUCUUGACAUGGAAGAGGAUGAUAUCUAUCAAGCUUGGAGGUUUAUAGCUGCCAAGUGCUUGCGAGGUAUGUUCCAUGCCAUUCGCAAAAAAGGUGCCUGUCCAUAUUGGAUCCCACCAGAAGUUCUUGGUGAAUUGAUGAGACGUUGGGACACUGAUGCCUAUAGACAAUUACAGGCGAGAAAUAAAACUGCUAGGAAAUCGACUCGAGGUACCUCCCUUCACACUGCAGAAGGCACCACCUUUCCAGAAGCGAGGUUACGCUUGAAUCAUUAACUUGGAAGACCAUCACGUAUGGAUGAGUUUUUUUAGCACACUCACACUCGCAAAGAGGAUAGGACUGAAUGGGUUGAUGAACACUCCCGAAAGACAAAGGAUAUAUUUCAAGAGUGUAUGUUUCAGGCUGAGCAAGAGCGGCAGGCUGCUAUAAAGGCUGGUGUAACUGAUCCACCACCUAUCUUUGAGGAAAGCAUAUAGAUUGAGAUAAUGGGUGGAAAAUGAAGAGGUAGGGUAUAUGGCAUGGGUGAGUUAAGGGACUCUUUCAUGGUGCGACCUCGAGUUGAUGGGCCAACCACGACCACCAGCACUGAUGUUUCGGAUCUUAGAGAACAAAUCGUAAUACUCAAUAGAAAAGUUGAACAACAUGCCGCUAAAUAUAGAGAGCUUGAAGACCGCUACUAGAAAGAGAAAAGAGAGUGGCAACAGACUGUUGAAUCCUUGCGUGAGGAUCUUAACACCAGUAACUCACAGAUGGAUCAGUUUAGUCAUCAAUUGAGCAGCUUGACUGAGUAUGUGAGGGCCAUGGGUCCUAGUGUUCUAGAUCACGUGUUCCCUCACCUCCUCCUUUUACUUUUCCAAGCUCCCAGAAAAGCAUAUCCCCAAGUAGAAAACUCCCACCUAUUCUGCAGCAACCAGGACAACCACAGAGUUCUCAAAGGGACGACGAUUUUGACAAUCUUGAUGACUCGGAUGAUUAUUUAGAUGAGUAUGAGUAGGGUUAUUUACUUUGCUUUGAAUAUUUUGUAUUAUUAGUAGAUUGAAUUUAAACGAAUAUAACUCUAAGUUUAGUUAUUUAUCUUGUCUAGAGUUUUUAUGUUAGAGGAUUAUUUAUUAUUUUGAUAAGUUUGUAAACUCAUUAUCUAACAUUUAGUAUAAAUUUUAUUUUUAUAUUUAGAAGUUUAUUUAUCUAA